CUCAGGAUGAACGCUGGCGGCGUGCAUAACACAUGGCAAGUCGAACGGAGUAUCAUUGAAACCUAGUGAUGUGGUACUAGUGGCGGACGGGUGAGUAACGCGUGGGUAACCUACCUGGUAUUGGGGGGACAACAGUUAGAAAUGACUGCUAAUACCGCAUGAGUCAUUGGGGAGGCAUCUCCCUGAUGAGAAAGGAGCAAUCCGAUAGCAGAUGGACCCGCGUCUGAUUAGCUAGUUGGCGGGGUAACGGCCCACCAAGGCGACGAUCAGUAGCCGAACUGAGAGGUUGACCGGCCACAUUGGGACUGAGACACGGCCCAAACUCCUACGGGAGGCAGCAGUGGGGAAUAUUGCACAAUGGGGGAAACCCUGAUUGCAGCAACGCCGCGUGAGUGAAGAAGUAUUUCGGUAUGUAAAGCUCUAUCGAUGGGGAAGAAAAUGACGGUACCCAAGUAAGAAGCCCCGGCUAACUACGUGCCAGCAGCUGC
rnacentral:rRNA from 1 species